CAAAAGGCUCUUUUUAGAGCCAUCCACUUAAUCAAGGAAAGGAGCU
rfam:Felis catus isolate Cinnamon breed Abyssinian chromosome B2, whole genome shotgun sequence.